CUUAUGACUGUCACUGCCCUGACACACAGCCCUGUAAUUAUUUGUCUGCAUGUCUGUAGCUCUGUUUUUUCAAAAAUUUCUCUUUAAGUCUCCAGCUUCUAGCACAGCACUUGGCACAGAGCGUUUGCCAAGUACAAAGUACGCGUUUGCGUAGUUAAAGCUCUUGGGAUCGGGCUGCUCUGACCUCAGCUGAACAUGCUUGUCAAAAGCCCCAGAGUCCCCUGGGCAUGACAGAGUUUGGGGCACACUUAGGGAGAGGGCCCUACAGACCUCUGGGCUCGCUGUCUGUAGAGGCCUGGGCCACAGUCCCGGAGUAACCAGUGGGCAGGGGCUGCCCUUUGACAUCCUGUUCAGCUGUGGUUGUCGUCAGCCUGUUUGGUGAUAGAAGAGGGACAGCUGGAGUCCAUGGGGAUGAGGAGGGAGUGAAGCUUCUGUACAUGGCAGAGCCUCAUGACAGAAGGAGCCUGGUGCCUUUAAAGACUCGGUGGAAGGAGUUGCUCACAGACCAGAGCACUGCUCAAGAUGUUACAUGAGCAAGAAAUAAACUUCUGUGGUGUUUAGUCA
rnacentral:lncRNA from 13 species